rnacentral:sRNA from 1 species
UAAAAUAAUAAAAUAUUUUAUCAUUCUUAAUAUAACUUAAAUUAAAGAAUAACAAAAAUAAAUAAAUAUAUAUAUAUAUAUAUAUAUAUAUAUAAAGAAAUGAACACAUAUUUUUCAUAUCUACAAAUGAAAAAUAUUACAUAUAUAUAUAUAUAUAUAUUUAUGUGAUCAUUAAUUUGUAUAAUAUUAGGUUAGGUUUACUCAAGGUUUUUAAUUAUGAGGUGGGUUAUAAUAGAAACACGUAAUAAUAUAUAAAAAGAUAUAUAAAUAAACAAAUAAAUAUAUAAACAUUUGUAUGUUUCGAUUUUAAUAACACCUGGUUGUUAUUAUUUAAUGAUGGGGAAAAAAAGAAAAAAAAAAAAAAAAAAACAUGACAACACACUAUAUAAUCCUUAUAUAAAAUAAGAAACUUUAAACACAGCAUUAAAAGUUACAGUAUAUCAAAUUUAUUUUUUAUGAUAUAUAUAUAUAAUUAAUUUUUAUAAAAAGAGACAA